UACGUAGGCAGCAAGCGUUGUUCGGAAUUACUGGGCGUAAAGGGCGCGUAGGCGGCCUACUAAGUCGGACGUGAAAUCCCUCGGCUCAACCGAGGAACUGCGUCCGAUACUGGCAGGCUGGAAUCCGGGAGAGGGAUGUGGAAUUCCAGGUGUAGCGGUGAAAUGCGUAGAUAUCUGGAGGAACACCGGUGGCGAAGGCGGCAUCCUGGACCGGUAUUGACGCUGAGGCGCGAAAGCUAGGGGAGCAAACGGG
rnacentral:rRNA from 1 species